rnacentral:rRNA from 1 species
ACGGAAGGCAGCAGUGGGGGAUAUUGCACAAUGGGGGAAACCCUGAUGCAGCGACGCCGCGUGAGUGAUGAAGUAUUUCGGUAUGUAAAGCUCUAUCAGCAGGGAAGAAAAUGACGGUACCUGACUAAGAAGCCCCGGCUAACUACGUGCCAGCAGCCGCGGUAAUACGUAGGGGGCAAGCGUUAUCCGGAUUUACUGUGCGUAAAGGGAGCGUAGACGGCAAGGUAAGUCUGAAGUGAAAUGCCGGGGCUCAACCCCGGAACUGCUUUGGAAACUAUCUCGCUCGAGUACCGGAGGGGUAAGCGGAAUUCCUAGUGUAGCGGUGAAAUGCGUAGAUAUUAGGAGGAACAUCGGUGGCGAAGGCGGCUUACUGGGCUUUUACUGACGCUGAGGCUCGAAAGCGUGGGGAGCAAACAGGAUUAGAUACCCUGGUA